rnacentral:rRNA from 1 species
AGCGAACGCUGGCGGCAGGCUUAACACAUGCAAGUCGAGCGGGCAUAGCAAUAUGUCAGCGGCAGACGGGUGAGUAACGCGUGGGAACGUACCUUUUGGUUCGGAACAACACAGGGAAACUUGUGCUAAUACCGGAUAAGCCCUUACGGGGAAAGAUUUAUCGCCGAGAGAUCGGCCCGCGUCUGAUUAGCUAGUUGGUGAGGUAAUGGCUCACCAAGGCGACGAUCAGUAGCUGGUCUGAGAGGAUGAUCAGCCACAUUGGGACUGAGACACGGCCCAAACUCCUACGGGAGGCAGCAGUGGGGAAUAUUGGACAAUGGGCGCAAGCCUGAUCCAGCCAUGCCGCGUGAGUGAUGAAGGCCCUAGGGUUGUAAAGCUCUUUUGUGCGGGAAGAUAAUGUCGGUACCGCAAGAAUAAGCCCCGGCUAACUUCGUGCCAGCAGCCGCGGUAA